rnacentral:rRNA from 1 species
UACGUAGGGUGCGAGCGUUGUCCGGAAUUAUUGGGCGUAAAGAGCUCGUAGGCGGUGUGUCGCGUCGGCCGUGAAAACCUGGGGCUCAACUCUGGGCGUGCGGUCGAUACGGGCAUCACUUGAGUUCGGCAGGGGAGACUGGAAUUCCUGGUGUAGCGGUGAAAUGCGCAGAUAUCAGGAGGAACACCGGUGGCGAAGGCGGCGACCUGGGUCGACACUGACGCUGAGGCGCGAAAGCGUGGGGAGCGAACAGG